CGGAGGGUGCAAGCGUUAUCCGGAUUCACUGGGUUUAAAGGGUGCGUAGGUGGGUCUGUAAGUCAGUGGUGAAAUCCCCGAGCUUAACUUGGGAACUGCCGUUGAUACUAUAGAUCUUGAAUAUCGUGGAGGUAAGCGGAAUAUGUCAUGUAGCGGUGAAAUGCUUAGAUAUGACAUAGAACACCAAUUGCGAAGGCAGCUUACUACACGAUCAUUGACACUGAGGCACGAAAGCGUGGGGAGCAAACAGGAUUAGAUACCCUGGUAGUCCACGCCCUAAACUAUGGAUACUCGACAUCAGCGAUACACAGUUGGUGUCUGAGCGAAAGCAUUAAGUAUCCCACCUGGGAAGUACGAUCGCAAGAUUG
rnacentral:rRNA from 1 species